AACUGUGAUUCCGGGUUUUCUGGAAUGGUGGGAAAUGUAGUUUCAUACUGUGACGGGAGUCGUUAAGUCAAAUAGGUUGUGUUUCUUAAAAAACUACAAAUCCCUUUAAAGGAUGGGGAGAAUGUGGCUUAUGGUAUUUGUGGUUUUCUUUACAUACGUGCCCAGAUGUGUUUGUGGUCUCAAGAUAUUUUGGAGUAUCACUGACCAAGAGCGGGAAUGAAGUUACGUAAAGGAUGAAAACAGCAAAAAUACCGCAGAGAAAAGUUGGAAAACUUCGUGCUGUUUAAAAUCACAGAUGGAAUUGUGUUUCACAUUGAAUGUGCUUGGAGACAAAGUGUUCAUGAAGAUAACACUAGAUCAGACCUGCCAGGGGGACCUGCAGCUACGCCAAGCCCAGCAUGGCUUCACUUAGCUGGGUAACAUCUGCUGAGGCCUCCCCUGCCUCCUGGACUUCACCAUGAGCUGAUCCGUGCUGGUUGCUGAGGAAAAACAUCAACUUUGCGC